AUAAUAAUUUAUUUUAUUAUUAAAUUUUAUUAAAUUAAAAAAAUAUAUGAAAUUUAAAAAUUGAUAUAUAAUUCUUAAAUAAAAUAAAUUAAUUCUCAGUAUUAAAUAUUAAAAAUUAAAGAAAUUUAGAUUUAAUUAUUAAUUUUAGUAUAAACUAAUUAUGUGCCAGCAGUUACGAUUAAACAUAAUAUACAAAUAAAAUUAUUUAGUUAUUAGUAAAAAAUAUAAAUUAUAUAAUAAUUUUUAUUUUAAGGUAAAAUUUAAUUUAAAAUUAAAAAUAUAAUUAUUUUAUUCUAUUAAAUUUUAUUUUAAACUAGGAUUAGAUACCCUAUUAUAAAAAUAUAAAAUAAUUACUAAAAAAUUAAUAGUUAUGUUCUUUAAAUUUAAAAAAUUUGCCCCUAUUUUAUUCUUAUUAGAGGAACCUGUUUUUUAAUUGAUAAUCCACAAUUAAUUUUACUUAUUUUCAAAAUUCAUAUAUCGCUGUCAUUAAGUAUAUUAAUAAAUUUAUUUUUUAUAAUUAAUUUUAUAAUUUAUGUUAAGUCAAGAUGUGGUUAAUAAAUAAGAAAAUAAUGGGUUACAUUAAAUUAUAUUUUUGAAUAAAAAAUGAAAAUUUUAUUGAAAUUGGAUUUAAAAGUAAUUUAAAUUAUUUAAUUUAUUUGAAUAUAGAUCUAAAAUAUGUACAUAUUGCCCGUCAUUCUUAUUAAAAAUAAGACAAGUCGUAACAAAGUAAAUGUACUGGAAAGUGUAUUUAGAAAGAU
rnacentral:ncRNA from 1 species